CUGCUACCUACUAAGACAAUUUUCCACUGCUUCUUCUCUCCUCCCCGAGCCACCUCUUCCCAUCUGCUGCCUGCUGUCAUUUUUUCCAGUUCCACCCAGGCCUUGCCUCACUCCCUAGCCUGUCCCAGAAUUGGAACAAUGGCUUUUUGAUCUACAAUCAAAACCUAUCAUUUGAUCAACAAUCUGCAGGCAAACAGCUCUCUGGAGAGAGGUCUACAUGGUGGUUGCCUGAACUCACAUCUGUGCAGAUUCUAACCUCUUGGCGUGCUUGGGCUGCUCACAUUAAGGAAAAGGUGUGAGAAGGCCACCUCAGAGUGCUGGCCAGCUUCAGAUGCAGUUGCAACUGCAACCAAUUUGGAAGCAGCUGGAUUUCUUUGGCCACAUCUGCCUGUGUUGGACACCGUUAAAUCCUAGUGGCAGUCCUGGAUCUGGGACUCUGUAGAAAACUUCUGGCUUUUGCUGAUUACUGUGCUGACUCCUGAGUAUUUUGGGGAGGCAGACUCAUCGUGGUGCUGGCAUUUUCCCCUGAGAAGAAAGAGAAUACAUUUGUUCCUCUAGGGCUACAACAGCAAGCACUGCCUGUAAGGAGGAUCUGAGAUAUUGUAUAGUAUUGGACUUGAGUGACUCAGAAGGAUGAUGCUUACUGGGCUGAAGGUGACAAAGAAUAAUCCCAUUUCUCCUGCAUUUUGCUAGUCAGCAAAGUGUCAAAAGUAUUGCUGGUUGGAUGGGACUGAGACCAGAUCAGUAUUUAACAUAAACCCCCAGAAGGCUGUGGAGAAGAUCUUUGAGACAGGGAUGGAUGGUUGUAAGUGUGAGCUUAUAUGUGAGGACAACUGAAACCAGUGAGGAGGAUGCCAGAUGCUAAUUGAAGGAGAAAAAGUGUUCUGCCAUCUAUAAUGUUUUACUGAGGUUCUCCUUUCCAUCACCUUAGGAGAAUGUUUUGUGUUUUAAAGGCCAGCAGGGGUAUCCAAUCUAAGACAUUGUUGGAAGUCCAUGACCUAAUCCAAGUAUUCCAGAGCAGCUUCCUGGAAAGGAGAAUUUUAAGAACAAGAACAGAAAAAAAGCCUGGUAAAAGCUGUAACUGGCUCUGCCUGUCUGUGCUAUGACAGCCAACAAUAUCACCUGCUGAUGAUUUACAGAUUCCUGGGAGAUGUGUUGUUGAGUCUCAAAGAACUGGAACAAGAACAACUCGCUCAAAUUGCUUCCCGUGAAACAGCAUAAUGUAUCCACCCGCUUCAUACUCUCCUAAUUUAGGACAUGUGUAGUCUGUAAUGAUGAACUGGCCAACUGAUUAUGUUGCUGUAAAUCUCGUUCCCCACCUUACAAAACACCCCUGAUUGACCCCUUUUUCAUGAUAGCUCAGUGCAGCAUUUCCUGUCCACUUCUUGAGAGGGAGAAAAUCAGCACCAGCCACUUGCAAAAGCACUUCUCAAGAGUGAAAAAUGUAACAUUUUGUUGUUUUUAUUUCACUGGGCAGCCUUUUCAAGUUCUGUGACCCACUUUUGCUUCCCUUUAAAUUGUGACCAAUAUUUAUUUAUCCCUCUUUGAACACAAUAACUUAAUUAAGAAACUAAUCAGCAGUGUUGAACUGAUCUUUCAACUCACCCCUGUCACUGAAAGAAAUUUAUGAAUGCAUAAUACAAGAAAGAUCCUAUUAUCUAAAAAGCUUUCUACUAAAAGCAUUUGGCAUCUAAAAAGUAAGACUUGAAAUUCUGUGCUAAAUUUAUAAUGUAAAUAUGUGAACCUUAUUUAUAGAGUCUGAAAUGUACCCCAACUGAAUCUAACAAUUUUUUUCUGGAUUUUUUAUUAAAAAUAAAAUUGUCACAAGUUUAAAGGAUUGAAUUGUA
rnacentral:lncRNA from 1 species